rnacentral:miRNA from 1 species
UCAUUUUUCUUCUUUCU